rnacentral:misc_RNA from 1 species
AAGAGUAAGGGUGCUCCGGCGCCCGACCUCCAACCCUUUGUUGUUAAAACUACCUUGUUGCUUUGGCGGGACCGCCCGGUCCCCGAGCCGCCGGGGGCUUCGGCCCCAGGCGAGCGCCCGCCAGAGUUAAACCAAACUCUUGUUAAUUUAACCGGUCGUCUGAGUAAAAAUUUUGAAUAAAUCA